AGUUUGAUCAUGGCUCAGAAUGAACGUUGGCGGCGUGGAUUAUUGCAUGCAAGUCGUACGGACCAUGGUAGCAAUAUUAUGGUUAGUGGCGCAAGGGAGAGUAAUACGUAGGUAUUUACCCUGGGGUCUGGGAUAGCGGCGGGAAACUGCCGGUAAUACCAGAUGAUAUCUCCGGAUCAAAGGUGUGAUUCCGCCCUAUUAGAAGCCUGCGGUCUAUCAGCUAGUUGGUAGGGUAACGGCCUACCAAGGCAAAGACGGAUAUGGGGCGUGAGAGCGUGCCCCCACUCACUGGGACUGAGACACUGCCCAGACACCUACGGGUGGCUGCAGUCGAGAAUCUUCGGCAAUGGGCGCAAGCCUGACCGAGCGACGCCGCGUGCGGGAUGAAGGCCUUCGGGUUGUAAACCGCUGUCGAAGGGAAGGAAAUGCUAGUAGGUUCACCUAUUAGUUUGACCGAUCCUUGGAGGAAGGGCCGGCUAAUCUCGUGCCAGCAGCCGCGGUAAUACGAGAGGCCCAAACGUUAUUCGGACUUACUGGGCUUAAAGAGUUCGUAGGCGGUCUGGUAAGUGGGGUGUGAAAGCCCUCGGCUCAACCGAGGAAUUGCGCUCCAAACUGCCAGGCUCGAGGGAGAUAGAGGUGAGCCGGAACUGAUGGUGGAGCGGUGAAAUGCGUUGAUAUCAUCAGGAACACCAGAGGCGAAGGCGGCUCA
rnacentral:rRNA from 1 species